GUUACGAAAGGUGAAAAGGGAAUCCAGUGAGAAUCUGGGACAAUACCAGUUGCUGUAAAUCCCACUCCGUCAGGAGUUUGUUUAUCGCACUCUUUGCCACUGAUUGAAAUCGGGAAGGCGUGAUAAAAGGGAUAAGUCAGAAGACCUGCCUUGUGUUUUA
rnacentral:ncRNA from 1 species